AAUUUACAGCACAGUGGGCGGGGGCCUGGAGCCCUGCAAGGACACACUGCAACAUGCAGUCCCAUCAUUUCCUGCCUUUCCUCUUUGGUGUAGGCUGUAGGGUCAUUAGAAAAUGAACGCAGGUAUUUUUCAAUAUGGGAAAUGUCAGAAAGGGAGAAGGGAAUAUGCACCCAUAAGAUGCCCUCCGCGCCUGCCACCUCCCGUAACGGACAGAGGAGAGACUCUUCGGAGGGAUUUACACGAGAGCAAGUGUGAUGGCUGAUGGGAGAUGUCAGCGGGAGAUGGGAAUUAUGUGUGAAGUCAUCGAUCAAUACGGGGAAAGUGUACGUUGGUUUGGCCCCAAAAGGCAAGACAUCUUGAAGCCGAGGAUGACAGAGUUUAAGCUGAUACUUGGAGGAUGGAUAUAGAUAUAGACAUUUUUUCUCUCCCUCCCUCCGCCCU